AAUCAGUAUAAAAGAAAAAAAGUGCUUAUCACUUGAGUUCCAAACGUUUUUUGAAAAACAUUGUUCCGCCUACUACGAUUUUUUUUACUAUUUUUAGAGUAAAUAUUUUGUGUAGAAUCAGUGAUUUUUUUAAAGAAAAAUAAUAUAAUUGACGUCCAAUCACAGGAUACGACAUUUCUUGAGUUCGAUUUAAAACUUUACCUAGGAAGAAAAAGUCUAGUUUUUCAUAAAUAAUUAGGAAUUGUUCAAAUGAUCUAUCGGAAUUCCCAUUUUUAUGCAUAGUAUAUAUUUUUGUAUUCAUAUGAUGCACAAUUUGCUCCAAAUCCUGUACGUGAUAAGAAAAAAAAACAUUAGCCGUUCUAAAUAAUCCUCUGACGCUAGCUGUAUUUAUUCAUUUUUUUAAACAAGAAGAGGAAAAAUAUCGAGAUAAAGAACAGUAAAAGGUACCAUGGAGGAAUCGCCAUGGGCUUGCUCCUGAAUCAGCUGAGAUAUAUUAACUCCGUAUACAGGUGUUGAAGAAUAUUGGUACAUAAGUAAUUGAAGGUGACAAUAGAAAAGUCAUCAUGUUUGACAUAGAGCUUGGUUGUUAGAUUACAUGUACCAUUAACGUUUUUUCAUGUAAAAUAUCCAAAUAUUAAACAGAUAUGUCAGACUCGGCUGUAUGUUUUAUCGACAAAGGAAUGGAAAAUAUAUUGUAAAUUGACAAUAGGGCAUCGGUAUAUCUAAAUUUUGAGAUGAAGGCAAAACCAUUUUUUUUAAUAUGAUAUCACACUUUUAAUUUGUUGUAAGAAAUGGUCGUAUGAAGUAAAAUAAGGUGUACCUUUAGAUGUUACUCAGUAUUGAAUAUUUUGCAUCUAAAAGUUACUGAUUUACAUCACUUCUAGAAUACUGUAGAACUGAACGUCGGAUAUUUUUUACGUAUUAAUAUUUUAUAUUUUUGUAAGGAUUAAGUACACGGACAGCACUUUCAGGAAUUAAAAAAAUUUUGAUCGGGUCAUGACAUCAUGCAAUUUUUAAAAAUGUUAUGCUUAUGUGUCACGGUGUUGGUUUGGUCGAAAAUAGUUGUACAACUGUUGGAGCCGAGUUUAAUACAUGUAAACAUUUUAGCUAUACAGAAAUAUUACAGAAUAAUCCGUUUAAAUAAUGCUUAAUAAAAAAGAUGACUAUAAUAUGAAGCUAUUUGUAACAGUUACAAAAACGCACUGCAUACAUGUAAGUGAAGAUGGACAUGUACAAGCUAAUUUUACUUCAUUAAACAAAUUAUGAAAUUGAUUUUAUAACAUUUUUAGAAAUAUGGAGAUAUAAAUAGGAACUAAGGAAGUAUAGAUGAUUGUUUAUAUUAAAAGAUAUGGAUAACAACAAAUGUGAUCAUAAGAAACUCCGUUCUCACGUUCUUAAAAUCAAGUAUUGACUCAAUAAAAAUGCUAACAAAAAUACAUGUGUAUCUUCAAAUUUUCAGUCAUGUAUUUUUACCAACGAUAAUUCUUCAAACCUCAAAGUUAAUCAUAUUGAAGUAUAGACUGAAAAUUGUUACAUGAAAAGAUUUAAAUUUUAAGCUUCCUUUUGAGACUUUUUGAAUUAAAUAAUACAUUAAUGAGUUAUCCUUCCUGGCUGAGGAUCGGAGUACCUUAAAUUAUUGACAAGAAUAUUUUUGUGGCGAAAUUGAGUAACUGGUCUGAGAUAAAUUCCUGUACUAUGAUUAUCUUCAUUUUGCAGGUAAAAAUA